ensembl:lncRNA
AGCCUACUGCAUUGAUCCAAAGUUGCGCCUGUGAACUUCAGACACAGGAUGUUGCAACCUUGUGACGAAUACCACAGCUUCUCACCCUCAGGGAGGAAUCACCUAUACUAUAUGGCCUUCUGUCCGUCCAUCAGAGUCCAGAUCACGCGUCCAUCCCAUCCUCGUCGCCAAGUUUGUGGUGGAAAUUUGUGGAUUUAGCCCAUGUGAGAAAUCAAAAGUAUCUUGAGCUUGCUUUGUGAUUAAGUAUUUAUUACUAACUAGAGUAAAGGAAAAAGAUAAAGAAUAUAGAAAUCAUCAGCACAAGUAGUAAGCACAGACAGAAGUCAAAUGACUACAAUUCAGCUGAAAAGGGACAGAGGUUCCUUCCCCCAAAAGGAGCAGGAAGAUCUGACAAAGUCAAAGAGGAGAACAGGAGGUUUUAUACACUUAGGGGGGUUUGUGCUGCCUCAGGAAAAGGACAGCCCACCCCUCAAGAGGAAUGUGGGA